rnacentral:lncRNA from 1 species
ACCUUUCUUCUGCCCUCUGAUACACCCAUCUCUUCUCUUAAUUGCUGCUGGCUGCUGCAAAGCCCGACUGCAUAAAUCAUUAUAGUGCAGGAUUUGGAAGAGUCUCUCUCCUUCAAGACUCCCUUUAGAAGGCUGCCAGAAGAAGGUGUGGCCCAGAUUAAAAGCAGAUCUCCCCACCCCAAAAGAUGCAGAUUAAAGGCUACAAAACCGUAGAAGCAUUUACACAUACUGCAAGAUGUGAGACUUAUGUUAAGAGACUGGGAAUCAACACUGGCGGUUACAGCGGUUGUCAUCUUCUGCCUUGCUGCCGUCUUCCUCGGCUGAUAGAUAUUCCAGUCAGGUGCCUCAGAGGCACACUGGUCUGUAUCCUGACAGGCAAUGUGCAUAUUGGCUCCAGAUGACUGGAUGGAAGAAUGCAGCCGUCCUCCAAGCUGUAAACACAAGAGUGUGGCAUCUAUUCGCUUGGGUCUCCUCCUUGGCUGUCGUCAUAUCAAUAUGUGGUGGGUUUUCUAAGGAGAAUUCCAUCCAUAUCUGUCUUUGUAUGCAGAAUCCAGGAAGUCUGGGCUUUCUCACUGGCUUGGUUGCAGACACACCGAACAUGGGCGAGUUGCCUCCGUCUUUGUCUAUGCCUCUCACCCUCACCCUCAGACAAUGUCUGCAGAAUGUUGGAUGGUCCUUGCUGGUACGCAGUAUGUACUUGCAAACUGUUCAGGUUUUCUUUUCUGUCCUAAAUUUCUUAUUCUUUUUUCUUAGAGAAACCUAGUUUUAAUUUUAAAGCAUCUUAAAGCACGGGCGCGUGACAAUACAAACUCAUUUUAGUUUUAGAAGGUAUUUUUAAAUAAAAAGUCCAGUCCGAUGGCAUGCUCCAGAGGUACAGCUUGACAUUUUCCUCUGAUGCAAAUGCCCACAAUAACAAUUUACCAUCGCCUUAAUUUUUAUGAUCAAGCCCAAAGGAUGUAUGUAUUGUGUCCCUUUAGAAAGAUAAGGCUCUUGGCUUAUUUGUACUCCACCCUUAAAAACUGCCAGAUUUUUUUUUCUGUUCUUUGAAACACUUCUAGAGAUGUAAAUGGUACCUCCAACCUUCUGUCUCCCAGUUUAUUACCUUGGCAACACUUCUUGCUGUUCCUCUAAGACAAUAGGAGGUUUAACAGCUCGGCCUUCCUGUCCCAUCUCUCCCUUAUGGCUACUCAUAGAUUGGCUUCAGUUCAUCAGAUAGUUAAUUUUACAUGGUCAAAAUUCAUAUAAUGUUUACAAUAUUUUAUGCACUCACUUGCUUUUUCUGUGUUUUGGUUGUUUUUGAGGUUUAGAAAUAGAAUUUCUAGUAUUUUUGUUAAGAGAAUAUUAUAUAAUAUGUAACAAGUGUCAUUCUGUUCAAAUAAAAAUAUGUAUUGAUUACA